rnacentral:snRNA from 1 species
UCAAGGACAGAUUGGAGUUA